rnacentral:lncRNA from 1 species
UGUUCUUUAAUUGUACUACACAGUUAGCUUACUGUUCUUUAACUGUACUACAUAGCUAUCCUACUUGUUCUUUAGCUGUACUGCAUAGUUAGCUUACUUGUUCUUUUCAAGGCAACUAAUAUAUUGGUUGAAGAUAAAGACAAGAUUGAAGUGUUCGUUAAUUGUACUAUAUAGUCAGCUUACUUGUUCCCUCCCAGCUCCUGAAGUAUUUAGAUAGUAUGUUGGCAUUCCCAAAGUUGUGCAUUGGUAACAUUUUGUUCUUUGGCAUAGUCAUUUUGGAUGAAAUUAACAUAGUAUUUUGUUGUUAGGAUAUUGAAAGAUGAACCAUUGCUAUUCUGCUAAUUUUUCUAUGUUAGCUGAUAUGAUAGCUUCUGGGAUGUUGGUUCACUAAAACUUAAAUGACUGCAUAUAUAGGCAUAUAGCUAAGACUUCUUCAUUAUCUCAUAACCAGGUAACAAUAAGAAUGAUUGUUCAUGAGAAUAUUCUAAUAUUAUUACAUGAUCACAUUUUUAGGAAAAUAAGCUGGUUUUAACAUAUUUCUUGAUGUGCAAAGGGAAACAUUUGGACUAACAGGUGCAUAAACAUGAACACAAGGGAGUUAUUUGCAAUGUUGUUACUGGUUACUUUAGUGGCUGACAGGGUUUUUCAUAGGGAACGAAUCCAACCUAUAUUUCUUCAAGACAAGUAUAAUGAAACAAACAAAAUAGUGGUGGAAAUGUAGGUUUAGAUGAUUAAUACAUACCUCAGCACAUUGCUCUUCAAUUUCAUGUCUUAAUUUCAGGGCAUACUCACUGCUCACAUCCAUGUUAUUCAAGGCAGUAGAAAUAUCAAUUCCUGUUUUCUGCACUCCAACACCACCCAAAAACAGCUUUCCUCCAAGGUUAGGCUCUCUCAUUUUCUGCUGCAGAGCAUCAUUAUACUCACCACCCAGCAAACUUACAGCACUGCUCAAAACUGCAAUAACAGAAUUAAUAUUGGAUGUGGAUAUGGACCUGCGACAGCAACUCUGAAGAACAUAGAACACAUCAUCAACCAUGGAAGUUGUGAGGCUGUCCAUUACAUGCUCAUCAAUCUUAAUAGCCUUCCUGAC